rnacentral:rRNA from 1 species
UACCAGCACCCCGAGUGGUCGGGACGUUUAUUGGGCCUAAAGCAUCCGUAGCCAGUUCUACAAGUCUUCCGUUAAAUCCACCUGCUUAACAGAUGGGCUGCGGAGGAUACUAUAGAGCUAGGAGGCGGGAGAGGCAAGCGGUACUUAGUGGGUAGGGGUAAAAUCCGUUGAUCCAUUGAAGACCACCGGUGGCGAAGGCGGCUUGCCAGAACGCACUCGACGGUGAGGGAUGAAAGCUGGGGGAGCAAACCGG